UUGUGUACAAUUUGGAAAUUAGUAUGGCGUUCAUUAUCACUGGACUAGUACAUAUUUGUUUAGGGGCCAGCUGAAGGACGCCUCCGGGUGCGGGAAUUUCUCGCUGCAUUGAAGACCUGUUGGUGACCCUCUGCUGUUGUUUUUUAUUUGGGCGGGUUGUUGUCUCUUUGACACAUUCCCCAUUUCCAUUCUCAAUUUUAU
rnacentral:lncRNA from 1 species